AGUGAAGCUCCCAGCGGCGCCGGGCUGAGGAAGGCCGCGGCGCGGUGGCGGGGGGCUGCCGUGUACGCACCUACAGGGCCGUCUGUAGAACCGCACCCGGGGGCCGGCGGCCGCUCGGGAACGACGCCGCGGGCAGCAGCCGGAGGGCGGGCACCGGCACAGGCUCCUGGGGCGCCUGCACGUCGUUGGGCUAAACCGAGGGCCUCACAGGCCUCACAGGCCUCACGCGCUCCGUCAGGGGAAGGCAGCGGAGGCCUGGCGCCCAGGGAGGGUCCCAGCGUCUCACGGGGCGGGGGCGGGGGCGGGGGCGGCGGGGCGCACCGGGAGCUCCCCCGCGGAGCUCACCUCACCUCGGCGUCGCCGCCCGGCCCAGCGACCGAGGCUGCGCACGUGCUCCCGGCGGCGGCGGCGGCGGCGGCCUGCGCUCCGGGCCUCGGUCUCUCGGGCCUGGGGGCUCCGUCUGUGGGGAGAGCGGCAGAGACAACAGCUACGUCAGAGGCGCGUGAAAACGGAGCCCGCGUGCGUGCGGCUGGCGCCUCGCGCCCUCCCCACGGCCCGCCCCGCCCCGCCCCGCCUGCGGGGAAACUGAGGCCCGCCAGCCAUCGGGCCCGGGGCCCCGUGGAGACGCGCUUUUCUCCUAUUUUAUUCGCUGCGGCCCGUCUGUGCGGCCCGUUCCGCGGCCUCGGAGCCUGGGCGCCCUUGUCCCCGCGCCGCCCCCCCCCCGCGUGGGGGCGGAACACGCACGAGGCCUGGGCGCCAGGCCCGCACACGCCUCCACCUAAGCGAGUGGGGGACACGCGCUACGACCCGGCCGCCGGGGCCGCAGCAGGGCGGGCGGCGCGCCCGGGAGCGCUCCCCGCCCCCCCUCGCGGCGGCGACGAAUCCAGGCCACGUGCCGCCAUUUUGUGUUCUGGAAACAUGGCGGCCACGCCGCGGUGGGGGGGGAGGAGGGCGCCACGUUGGCCGCCGGCCCCGAGGCCCCCGCCGCGCCGCGCCGCGCUCGUCUGUCUGGGCGCCGCCCGGUGCGGCUCGGCCGAGGCGGCGGCGGGGGGACGGCGGCGAACGCACACGGGCCGCCGCGCCGCCUUCCCUCCGCGAGAGGGGCGCGCGCGGGCGGGCGGGCGGGCGGGGAAGGCCUUCCAAGAUGGCGGGGGCCGCCCCGAGGGGAGCGUCGCGGGCAGGGCCCCCCGCACCGCCCGGCGCGGCCCCACGUGCGGCCAUUGUCUUCAGGGUCUGACGAGGCCGCCACGACCGAAGGGACCCCGGGAGGCGGGGUUUCCGCAGGCUCGGCCGCAAGGAACUUGCAAAAUGCAAACAAAGCAUUAUGUAAAUGGACGCCAUGCCGGCAGUGGCUGUUUUUUUGUUGUUGUUUUUUCUCCUCUUCUUCCCUCCCGCCGCCCCCCUCCCGGCCGCGGCUCCACAGUCCCCAGAACCCUCGGGCGGGGGUCGGCGGGGCCCGCCGCGGCCGCAGGGCGCGGGGGGGGGGGGCGGGGGCGCCCGCGCUGCGGAGACCGAGGCCCCACGUGCCCGCCCGCGCGCGCCCGCGCCCGCGCCGCAGGCCUCGCCCGGCCGCCCCUCCCCCCCGGAAGAGCGCGGCCGCCCCGCCCGCCGCCCCACACCCCGGCGCAGGCGCGCUGGCCGCCUCACGCGCACGUUUUAAACCCGCGGCGUCCCGGCGGCGCCUGCAGUGGCCGCCGGGGCUGCCCGUGUCGCUCCGCUCCGGACGCCCUUCCCGAGGCGGGAAAGUGA
rnacentral:lncRNA from 1 species